GAUGAAGAACGCAGCGAAAUGCGAUAAGUAAUGUGAAUUGCAGAAUUCCGUGAAUCAUCGAAUCUUUGAACGCAUAUUGCGCCCUCUGGCAUUCCGGGGGGCAUGCCUGUCCGAGCGUCAUUACAACCCUCAAGCUCAGCUUGGUGUUGGGCCCCGCCGCCCCGGCGGGCCCUAAAGUCAGUGGCGGUGCCGUCCGGCUCCGAGCGUAGUAAUUCUUCUCGCUCUGGAGGUCCGGUCGUGUGCUCGCCAGCAACCCCCAAUUUUUUUCAGGUUGACCUCGGAUCAGGUAGGGAUACCCGCUGAACUUAAGCAUAUCAAUAAGCGGAGGA
rnacentral:misc_RNA from 1 species